rnacentral:rRNA from 1 species
GUAAGGAAUAUUGGACAAUGGACGCAAGUCUGAUCCAGCCAUGCCGCGUGAAGGAUUAAGGUCCUCUGGAUUGUAAACUUCUUUUAUAAGGGACGAAAAAAGGCUUUUCUAAGUCGUCUGACGGUACCUUAUGAAUAAGCACCGGCUAACUCCGUGCCAGCAGCCGCGGUAAUACGGAGGGUGCAAGCGUUAUCCGGAUUCACUGGGUUUAAAGGGUGCGUAGGCGGGCAGGUAAGUCAGUGGUGAAAUCCUAUAUCUUAACUCUAGAACUGCCAUUGAUACUAUCUGUCUUGAAUAUUGUGGAGGUAAGCGGAAUAUGUCAUGUAGCGGUGAAAUGCUUAGAUAUGACAUAGAACACCUAUUGCGAAGGCAGCUUACUACGCAUAUAUUGACGCUGAGGCACGAAAGCGUGGGGAUCAAACAGGAUUAGAAACCCGGGUAGUCC